rnacentral:lncRNA from 1 species
GCUUAUGAUAUGAUGCAUGAUGCGAAUUCCCAUGAUGCCCUCUUAAAAAAAUGGCUGGAGGAAGUGGAGUGCUUUUAUUUGUCAGUUGUUCGUUUGCAGAGCAAAAGACGGUCUUAGCUGGGGUAAAAACCGUCACAAGUACCGGAUUUGGUGCAACAUGCCUUGAAGCUGUGUAGCAUGGCGGUACAAACAGGGCUACUCAGAGGCUUUGAAGGAGAAUGCAGAACAUUCCACUACCGUACAUUGCGAAGGACCUCAUCAGACAAAAAGAAUGGUUGCACAAUAUGCAUGGGGUGGCUACAUUCCAUCUGCAUACCGGUAGGAUACCCACUCAACGUGGCUGCCAGGGAUAUUCUCCUCAAGCACUUCAAGACGCUGCAUGACGAUGCAGCAACCAGCGCCAUCUCCACCCAAUCUAUUCAUUCAGAUGUGACAGCUCCAUCAGCAACCAUACAUGUAUGUACAAUAAACACUUCCCAGCACCGCUAGCACCGUAGACAACUACGGCCACUUCAAAGGUGUCCCUGCAAGCGUCCCUGAAGCAAAACUUCAAACACGUUGAUGGGACAUCUUCCAUCAUUGGUCCCAGUGGCCAUUUCAACAUCUGCGGCCACUUCAAAUGCACCACUACCAAUCUUGUCUAUUGCAUCACGUGUACACGCUGUGACAUACUCUACAUUGGUGAAACCAAGCGCCGACUGGCUGAUCACUCUACGAAUCAUCUCUGAAGCGUUCGGCUGAAACAACCUGGCCUGGUAGUCACCCAUCACUUCAGCGCACCAUCACACUCCACAUGAGCGUCUGCUUUGUCACCACGGCAUCACCAGGUACGCAGCGCCGAUCUUAGUGGCCAGCAUGUGAUGUUCCAACUGGGCACGCUCCACCAUGAUGGGAUGAAGCUUCCCCCUUUUGUUCCAUCAGCGGUACAUCACAACAAGCCAUAAUUCCCCUUAUGAAGGUGCAUCUCACUAAAAGCUCAGGUACAAAUAUCCGGCAACACUACUUGAAGACCAGCCUCUGACGUUUUCAGCAGCUGACUUACUGCAUGCACCAUAACCCAGGUCAUCAACAGAGUGAUCCAAGGAGCAGCAACACAAGAGGAGCAACUCAAGAACAGCUUCUUCAUGGACUUCAGUGGCUUUGCCUUCAUGCACCAUAACGCUGUACCAUCCAGGUUAUUUCAGAGAGCUUCCAUUCAACCAAGUUGGGUAGAUUUUAGUGAUGGGAUUGAAAUCUGGAUUUUUAAAAAUUCGGUUUGAAUUCCACUUUUUUAUUUUUGGAAACGGAUAUUUGAAACCAACCUUUCAAUAAUCAGGCGUUCCAUUUUUUUUUGUAAAACAAGCUGAAGAAAACAACUAGAACAUAUCCCCCAAUUGGCUCCAUGGUCUCUGAUGUGUACAUUAACUUCCUAGUGGUCUUCUUGGUCUAUGAAUAGCCUGCCCAUCCGACUUAUCAGAGUGUUCCCAUCCAUUUUUCAACAUUAAAGCUCUGGAGUAUUUUUGUAAAAGGCCUAGUUGUCAUUCAAUCCUGCAAACCAUACCAAAUUGUGAACGGCAUACACUGUGGCACCUCACACGUCACACUUUUUGUUGGCAUGACUGUGACCUGAAUGGGAAAAUCGGAUAAUCGUUAUUGGGUUUGAAAAAAAAUUAGGAUAACUGGAUUUUAAAAUCUCCAUUUUCUCUCACCACUUGUAGAUAUCCGAGUGACUUAGCAAUUUGUUCAAUGCAUUCACCAGUUAGUAAACAAGAUGUCAAACCAACAAUGUGGAGAUUUUUUUAUUGCAGACAUGGUGAAACCUUAAACCUCAACACCUUGUCAAGUCACAUUGAGAAACGAGCAUUUUACAUCUUGUCAAGUCACAUUGAGAAACAAGCAUUCCUUUUACUUGAGCAAGGUAAGCGUUGUAACUGUUAUUUUUGUGGUCAACCCGACUUAGUGACUUGGCUCUUAAAUUGCAGUUUGAACCCUAACCGUAACCAUUUAGAGGCAAACGUUUGGAACGACAAAGUUUCAAUGAAGUGCCAGCCUACCCAUUAAUGAUGACUUUCCUGAUAGGCUAUCAGCUUCGGUCCGAAAGUUGGGCCAGCGGUAUCGAAAAGAGCAAUGCUCAUAUGAAUAGCAAUUUUUGGCAAGGUUUGCCAAUCUAGAGUUGGAAAAUGUGUGCUUUGCAGUGUGAAUUGUGACAGGUUUUUGGUGUUAUCACUUUAAUUUUUUUCUUCAAAAUGGCCGCCAAUAUGUUUGUUACCGGAUUAAUUAUAUGUGGUAACAAACACGUUUUGGCCGCCAUUCCUUUAAAACAGUGAUAGCACCCAAAAAGCUGCCACCUCUGCAGUGCUACGGGGGUGCAUAUCCUUGCCAAAAAUUACAUUGACCAUUAUUCCCCUCAUAACACUUGAUACCGACCAAAGCCCCAGGCUAAUGGCCUAUGACACUACCCAGAAUACCAUCAGAAUCCCAAAUAUAUGUGCCUUAUUUUCAAGACAACAAGGGCGGAAGAUAUUCAGAUCCCUACACAUAUUACAUUUACAUGUACAUUCCAAAUCUGAAAUCCCUCCAAGUCAAUUUUGACAAGCUUUAAAAGUGCAAUGUAUGCAGCUGCACAAAAUUUCAUAUGAAUCAACUGGAAACUGUUGUCUUUAGUCUCUUUGUCAAGCAUGCUGGGCUCAAAGUUACUUUCGUAACCACAUAAUAAAACCUUGCCAAUUUCAGUCAUCAUCAUCAUCAUCAUUAUGUAUUCAUUCAUUCAUUGAACUUGCCAUUCGAAGAUGAUCAUCGUCACUCUUAUCUUUUCUCACACUCACGAACAACCAAACUCAACUUUCUUGCUUUGGCGAUAGCGAAGCACAGGAGUGACGCUCGUUUAGUCCGCCUUUUGUUUUUCGAUGCUUACGACAUUGUCAACAUUAUUUUGAUGUAUCUUUUACAUUUUCAACUCCAAUUGUCUUUCUAUACAAAUUACAGUGAUUAUUUUAUCCAGUUGUUAUGCUACAUAUUGUUUUAACCUUUGUCUUUAUGUGGAAAUAACUGUUGUCAAGUGCUUGAUGACACUUCAUUGGAGAACACGACGUCCAGGAAAAAAUGCUCUGGAAACCUGUGCCCAAAAACAUUCAGCGUCCUCUGUGCUGGGUGUUGGACCUCACCCUAAACAAAAAUCAUAAUAACCCUCAAACUUAUACCAAAUAAUUGGAUAACGUGCGUCUCUGUGGGUGCGCUCGCUAGAGCUAACUAUACAAUGCUCACGCCUUCUUAUUUAAACCUCUUUUCUAAUCCCUCUUACGUAACACACUUGCUAUGGAUUACUGGCUCUCUAUUCAUUCUUUGAAUUCCUAAGACAAUAAUUUCCCGCUUUACUACAAACUGCGGGAAAUUUUUAUUCUGGUGUAGACUCGAAUUAUUAAUCUACAAUAUCCAACUCUUCCAUUCUCGUUCGAAAUAUUCCUUUAAGUAUUGACUUUCCGAUUUGUUUACGCAGUGCAAGUUCUUCAUUUCAUCUCCGAGUGUUUCUACACGUUGUGUUUUUUUAAAUUUGUAUUUGAGUAAUGUUGCCACUUUUGGGCUGCACUAUUUGGCAUGAUACAUGUACACGUAAUUUGAGCAUAAUAGUCUGUGCUAAGGUCAUUGACAUAGUCACGCAGCGGUUUCGCCUUAAAUCGGUUAACAACGUCUACUUCAUUGUCAGCUUGUACAUAAUGUACGCCCAGGAUUCAUUUUCCGCCGAGUUUACUGAGUCAUUUUGGGGAAUUUCUGCAUUUGCAGCCAUCUGGAAGCAUACGGCGUAGAUUUUGGAUACAUAAGCUGUCCAUUUGGUGCAUUUCUCCAUCUGUUAUUGUCCAACAGUUAUACAAGCUUACGUUUGUCUCGAACAACAUAUAAUAAAGCUGCUUAGCAUUUGGUUGUCAGAGGCAUACCGAUAUCCACUUAACUUUGUGAAAGGUAUUGAGAUGGCCUGAUCCAGCUAGCCCAUCUCUUAUAUGCCGGGGGUCGCAGUACAACAUAGCCCCCAGCCAUGGGAAAAUGGUUCUUGUGUUGUUCUCUUAAGAAAAGACUACUGGUUUGUAUCAAGUGGUCGGUAUCGUGGUAGCUAAUUUGGGUUUGUCACAUCCCUGGCGGAAGAGGGAAGCACUCCCGGAAUAGCGAAGGGUAUCUUGAGGGUAUCUUAUUAGGUAUUCAAGCAGCGGACAGUGAUAUCGUGUGUUGGUCUCACAAUAAAACGCUAUAGCGUUUACACAACCCUGACUCUUUUAAAUAGCAAAGGACGUUCUUGAUCUUGAGGUUUGUCUGAACUAGGAGUGCCUAUGGCCAAUCUUCUAGUCAUUUCCUCAGGCCAGAGUUGUCAUACAAAGUCUGUAAACAAUUGGAUUACAACCAUCCAAUUUCAAUCACAGCUUUAGGAAGAUCUUGUUUUGGCCCUCUCCUUUUCUUUUGAAGAUGUAUGAAACUCCAUCAUGAUAAAUGUGACAUUCAGUCUCGAAAAAUACCAUCUUCUCUCCGUAGUAAACACAUUUGAAGGAGUAGCAUUGGAUUUGUAGCAAAAUCAUGCAGCGUUUGAAGAGUUGCCUGGAGUUGCCUUUUUUAGCAAAAUUACACAGUGUUUGAAGAUGUAAUCUUUUCCAAAAAGCCAAGGAGUAAACACAUCAGAGGCAGCAUUGGAUUUUUAGCUAAAUUAGACAGAGUGUUUUAACAUGUAUAUACAUGUAGUCUUUUCCAUUAAGCCCAGUGGUGAACACAUUAGAAGCAGAAACAUUGGAUUUGUAGCAAAAUUACACAGUGUUUGAAGAUGUAAUCUUUUCCAAAAAGCCAAGGAGUAAACACAUCAGAGGCAGCAUUGGACUUUUAGCUAAAUUAGACAGAGUGUUUUAAGAUAUGCAUGUACAUACAUGUAGUCUUUUCCAUUAAGCCCAGUGAUGAACACAUUAGAAGCAGAACAUUGGAUUUGUAGCAAAAUUACACAGUGUUUGAAGAUAUAAUCUUUUCCAAAAAACCAACAUGGCCAAGGAGUAAACACAUCAGAGGCAGCAUUGGAUUUUUAGCUAAAUUAGACAGAAUGUUCUAAGAUAUACAUGUAGUCUUUUCCAUUAAGCCCAGUGGUGAACACAUUAGAAGCAGAAACAUUGGAUUUGUAGCAAAAUUACACAGUGUUUGAAGAUAAAGUCUUUUCCAAGAAGCCAAGUAGUAAACACAUCAGAGGCAGCAUUGGACUUUUAGCUAAAUUAGACAGAGUGUUUUAAGAUAUACAUGUACAUACAUGUAGUCUUUUCCAUUAAGCCCAGUGGUGAACACAUUAGAAGCAGAAACAUUGGAUUUGUAGCAAAAUUACACAGUGUUUGAAGAUAAAGUCUUUUCCAAGAAGCCAAGUAGUAAACACAUCAGAGGCAGCAUUGGACUUUUAGCUAAAUUAGACAGAGUGUUUUAAGAAUUAAAGAUAUACAUGUACAUACAAGUAGUCUUUUCCAUUAAGCCCAGUGGUGAACACAUUAGACGCAGAAACAUUGGAUUUGUAGCAAAAUUACACAGUGUUUGAAGAUAAAGUCUUUUCCAAGAAGCCAAGUAGUAAACACAUCAGAGGCAGCAUUGGAUUUUUAGCUAAAUUAGGCAGAAGAAACCCCUUCGCCUGGUCAGGUUUCUCGAAGAAAAAUGUUUUCACAUACUCUCAAACUCCAUGAUAUCUACUUUAUUUAACACCAUAACUCUCUUGUGCAAUCUCCAGUUGAAGAGUACAUUUUCUGUGUCUUGUACAAUGUAGUUUUCGCCCAAAACUGUACGUUGACUCGGGCGAACCACAAUGUUCGAUCUUUUGGUCAGAAAUGCGCAAGUUUUAAACUGAAUGCUGGAGGGUGUUUCUCCGGCCUCACUGUGUGUGCAGGAAACAAAACCAAUGCCAUGGGCUCAUCUGCACAUAGCUACCUGUAGUUGUGUACAAGCUUAAAGUACACGUACAUGUAUUCGAUAAAUGGACAUAUUUCUAAUUUUCUAGGGAUGAGGUUGCAAAUGCCCAACACCCCCCCCCCCCUCCCAACCCACUAGCCACAGACCUGGAUAUUGGUGAAAAUUGUCAAUGAUCAGUCCUUAUCUGUUGCAUAACUGUAUUUGCAGCAUAUUGUAGCAUGUCGAUUUGGGGUAAUCGCAACACAAUGAAUAGACAACCAGGCAAUGAUAUUUCCUUGAAAAUACUCCUUUUCAGUUCACAAACUUUACAAAACAACAAAAUACAUGCUCACAACAACUCUCAAACAUGUCUCUCUGUAAUGGAAACUUCCACACACAGAUAAAGCGUCCCUGUGAUGGGUUUCCCGGUCCGUGUAGCAGGGGCUCCGGUCAACAUAUGGAUGAAGUUGCAAAGCGCCCCCAGUUGGCCGGUCGUCUCGGACUCUACAAUAUUCAAAUAUAACUCUUGCAGAAUUUGCUGUCUUCAUCCUUGGUUUGAUGUUGUCGUUGUCUCCCAUUGGAUGUUAUCCCAGCACAAACUGUAGCUGGCUGCAUCUUCUUCAGACUUCUGCGAGGAACUGGACUCUGUAGCUGCCAACAUUGCAUCCUGAAAUGAUAGGAUAGGUGUCAUAUGAAAAUCAGGCUCCUGUGAAAUCCGGACUCCUAUGCCCUGUUAUUGGUUAAACCCUCGGGGUGCCCAAUCCAGGCGCCCUGUUAUUGGCCCAUCUGUUGCUACGGCCAUAACCCAGGCAUGCUGGGCUGUGUAUACGAAUCACACAGCAGCCGCAUCCCAUAGACAUGUGUGUCAUUUCAAGUAGAAGCCAGGCAAAUUAGUCGCAGCCAUUCUUCCAUGUGCAUGUAAGUGUGUCCAUGAGUUUAUAGAUCUACAUUUCAUAUAAAUAUUGAAUACAGUUCCGUGACAGAUUGACAUUUUAUUCUAUAUAAAAGCAGUUUGGUUUACAGACCAGCACACCACUUAGUCAGUGUUUAAAGCAGUUUUAAUAUAAACAUA